rnacentral:lncRNA from 1 species
CAGAAAUGAGCUCAGAUCAGAAAACCUCAAAUGUGGGGGAAAUUUGGAUCUGGAUCCACAUACAGACUGUGAGCAGCCUUGCAUAAUGUGCUGUGCCAAACGCCAAAUCGAAAUCCUACUGAACUUCGGGGAAGCUGGGAUUCAGAUUCACCUGCAGCAGAGCUUUUCUAUAUACAAAUGUACGUCAGAAGAGAGACAAUCAGAUCUACUACAUGGUGAAGACCUUUGAAAGAAUCUCCUUAUAAAGACCUCCGCCACCUUCAAACAGGCAUGAGACUCACAAUAUGAAAAGUGCUGAAGUGGAGCUUUUGCUAAAGAAUAUUGGAAACACUACUACAAUCCUUGGAGGAGUAAUUCACAUUUGCACAAGCAUUAUUGCUCACUAGCUGAAUGUUUCCUAUGAUUAAGGAGAAGUUAUAUGCAGAAUUGACCUGCUUCAUCUUGGCCAACUCUUCUUGGCAUAUGCACGUCUGCAGAGUAAGAUGAGGUUCCAAGGUAUCUGUUUAGGGUACUACUAGCUGGAUAAUAAAACAGCUGCAGAAUUUAAGUGAAAUCA